AGUGAACGCUGGCGGUAGGCCUAACACAUGCAAGUCGAACGGCAGCACAGUAAGAGCUUGCUCUUACGGGUGGCGAGUGGCGGACGGGUGAGGAAUACAUCGGAAUCUACUUUUUCGUGGGGGAUAACGUAGGGAAACUUACGCUAAUACCGCAUACGGCCUACGGGUGAAAGCAGGGGAUCUUCGGACCUUGCGCGAUUGAAUGAGCCGAUGUCGGAUUAGCUAGUUGGCGGGGUAAAGGCCCACCAAGGCGACGAUCCGUAGCUGGUCUGAGAGGAUGAUCAGCCACACUGGAACUGAGACACGGUCCAGACUCCUACGGGAGGCAGCAGUGGGGAAUAUUGGACAAUGUGCGCAAGCCUGAUCCAGCCAUACCGCGUGGGUGAAGAAGGCCUUCGGGUUGUAAAGCCCUUUUGUUGGGAAAGAAAAGCAGCAGGUUAAUACCCCGCUGUUCUGACGGUACCCAAAGAAUAAGCACCGGCUAACUUCGUG
rnacentral:rRNA from 1 species